rnacentral:rRNA from 1 species
AUUGAACGCUGGCGGCAUGCUUUACACAUGCAAGUCGAACGGUAACAGGCCUUCGGGUGCUGACGAGUGGCGAACGGGUGAGUAAUGCAUCGGAACGUGCCCAGAGGUGGGGGAUAACGCAGCGAAAGCUGUGCUAAUACCGCAUGUGAUCUGAGGAUGAAAGCGGGGGACCAGGCAGCAAUGUUUGGCCUCGCGCCUUUGGAGCGGCCGAUGUCAGAUUAGGUAGUUGGUGGGGUAAAGGCCUACCAAGCCGACGAUCUGUAGCUGGUCUGAGAGGACGACCGGCCACACUGGGACGGAGACACGGCCCAGACUCCUACGGGAGGCAGCAGUGGGGAAUUUUGGACAAUGGGCGCAAGCCUGAUCCAGCAAUGCCGCGUGCGGGAAGAAGGCCUUCGGGUUGUAAACCGCUUUUGUACGGAACGAAAAGGCUCUGGCUAAUACCUGGGGCUGAUGACGGUACCGUAAGAAUAAGCACCGGCUAACUACGUG